UACGGAGGGAGCUAGCGUUGUUCGGAAUUACUGGGCGUAAAGCGCACGUAGGCGGCUUUGUAAGUUAGAGGUGAAAGCUCGGGGCUCAACCCCGGAAUUGCCUUUAAGACUGCAUCGCUUGAAUCCGGGAGAGGUGAGUGGAAUUCCGAGUGUAGAGGUGAAAUUCGUAGAUAUUCGGAAGAACACCAGUGGCGAAGGCGGCUCACUGGACCGGUAUUGACGCUGAGGUGCGAAAGCGUGGGGAGCAAACAGG
rnacentral:rRNA from 1 species